UACGUAGGUGGCAAGCGUUGUCCGGAAUUAUUGGGCGUAAAGCGCGCGCAGGCGGUCCUUUAAGUCUGAUGUGAAAGCCCACGGCUCAACCGUGGAGGGUCAUUGGAAGCUGGGGGACUUGAGUACAGAAGAGGAAAGCGGAAUUCCACGUGUAGCGGUGAAAUGCGUAGAGAUGUGGAGGAACACCAGUGGCGAAGGCGGCUUUCUGGUCUGUAACUGACGCUGAGGCGCGAAAGCGUGGGGAGCGAACAGG
rnacentral:rRNA from 1 species